rnacentral:rRNA from 1 species
AUUCCGGUUGAUCCUGCCGGAGGCCAUUGCUAUCGGAGUCCGAUUUAGCCAUGCUAGUCGUGCGAGUUCAGACUCGCGGCACCGAGCUCAGUAACACGUGGCCAAACUACCCCUACAGAGACGGAUACCCUCGGGAAACUGAGGUUAACCCGUCAUAUCGAUCUCAGGCUUGAAUCGCAGAGAUCACAAAACGCCCCGGCGCUGUAGGAUGUGGCUGCGGUUGAUUAGGUAGACGGUGGGGUAACGGCCCACCGUGCCCAUAAUCGGUACGGGUCGUGAGAGCGAGAGCCCGGAGACGGAAUCUGAGACAAGAUUCCGGGCCCUACGGGGCGCAGCAGGCGCGAAACCUUUACACUGCACGCCAGUGCGAUAAGGGGACUCCGAGUGCGAGGGCAUAUCGUCCUCGCUUUCGUGUACCGUAGGGUAGUACAGUAUCAAGAGCUGGGCAAGACCGGUGCCAGCCGCC